UACGUAAGGACCGAGCGUUGUCCGGAAUCAUUGGGCGUAAAGGGUACGUAGGCGGCCAUAUAAGUUAGAAGUGAAAGGCUAUAGCUCAACUAUAGUAAGCUUUUAAAACUGUAUGGCUUGAGAGAUGGAAGGGAAAGUGGAAUUCCUAGUGUAGCGGUGAAAUGCGCAGAUAUUAGGAGGAAUACCGGUGGCGAAGGCGACUUUCUGGCCAUUAUCUGACGCUGAGGUACGAAAGCGUGGGUAGCAAACAGG
rnacentral:rRNA from 1 species